UGUAGGCGGUUGGUUAAGUCGGAUGUGAAAGCCUGGGGCUCAGCCCCAGAAGUGCAUCCGAAACUAUCCGGCUAGAGCGCGAUAGAGGAGGGUGGAAUUCCUGGUGUAGCGGUGAAAUGCGUAGAUAUCAGGAGGAACACCGGCGGCGAAGGCGGCCCUCUGGAUCGUUGCUGACGCUGAGACGCGAAAGCGUGGGGAGCAAACAGGAUUAGAUACCCUGGUAGUCCACGCCUUAAACGAUGGGUACUAGGUGUUCGGGGUGUUGACCCCCUGAGUGCCGCAGUUAACGCAUUAAGUACCCCGCCUGGGGACUACGGCCGCAAGGUUAAA
rnacentral:rRNA from 1 species